rnacentral:rRNA from 1 species
GACGAACCGUGCGAACGUUAUUCGGAAUCACUGGGCUUAAAGCGCGUGUAGGCGGGACGGCACGUCGGUCGCUGAAAUCCCCCGGCUCAACCGGGGAACGGGCGCCGAUACGACCGUCCUGGAGGGACGUAGGGGGGACCUGGAACUUCCGGUGGAGCGGUGAAAUGCGUUGAGAUCGGAAGGAACGCCCGUGGCGAAAGCGAGGUCCUGGACGUUUUCUGACGCUGAGACGCGAAAGCCAGGGGAGCGAACGGG